rnacentral:rRNA from 1 species
GGGGGGCUUCGGCUCCCCGGAGAGUGGCGCACGGGUGAGUAACACGUGGGUAAUCUGCCUUUGGGUGGGGAAUAACGAGCCGAAAGGUUCGCUAAUACCGCAUAACGCAGCGGCACCGCAUGGUGACAGUUGUUAAAGGGGGGGAUCUUCGGACCUCCCGCCUGAAGAGGAGCCCGCGCCCGAUUAGCUAGUUGGAGAGGUAAUGGCUCACCAAGGCUUCGAUCGGUAGCCGGCCUGAGAGGGCGGUCGGCCACACUGGCACUGAGACACGGGCCAGACUCCUACGGGAGGCAGCAGUGGGGAAUUUUGGGCAAUGGGCGAAAGCCUGACCCAGCAACGCCGCGUGAAGGACGAAAUCCCUCCGGGAUGUAAACUUCGAAAGUCAGGAAAGAAAUCCUCGCGGAUAAUACCCGCGAGGGAUGACGGUACCUGACGUAAGCCCCGGCUAACUACGUGCCAGCAGCCGCGGUAAUACGUAGGGGGCAAGCGUUGUUCGGAAUUACUGGGCGUAAAGGGCGCGUAGGCGGCACGGCAAGUCGGGAGUGAAAGGCCUGGGCUCAACCGAGGAACUGCUUUCGAGACUGCCGAGCUAGAGUGCGGAAGGGGCAACUGGAAUUCCCAGUGUAGCGGUGAAAUGCGUAGAUAUUGGGAAGAACACCUGAGGCGAAGGCGGGUUGCUGGGCCGACACUGACGCUGAGGCGCGAAAGCCAGGGGAGCAAACGGGAUUAGAUACCCCGGUAGUCCUGGCCCUAAACGGUGGAUACUUGGUGUGUGGGGUUCUUCGAGUCCCGCGUGCC